UGGAAUGGAGGGUAUCUUGCUGGAGAUCCCUACAUACCUCAGGCCUUUGGAAUGCUGCAAGAGCACACUGCUGACUCAUGUCCAGCUUUCUGACCAUCAGGACCCCAAAGAUCUGAAUUCCAAAGAUCUGAUUUGGUCUUUCAUUAUUUUUAAAUGGACAUCAAAGCACCUGUGAUCAGCUGGAGGAUCACAGAGUCAUAGAACAUCCUGUGUUGGAAGGGACCCACAGAGAUCAAGUUCAACUCCUGGUUCCAUACAGGAUCACUAUUCAAACCUGUUGUCCAAACACUCUUUCAACUCCAGCAGCUUGGUGCCAUGAUCACUGCCUUGGGAGCCUGUUCCAUGCUCACUGUCCUCUUGAGAAGAAUCUUUUCCGAACACAUAACUUGAUCCUGCUCUGACACAACUAUACACUGUUCCAUCCAGGCCUGUCACCGUCACCAAAAAGCAGAGCUUAGUGCUGCCCCUCCACUCCCUUGUGAGGAGCUGUGGGCCACCAUGAGACCUCCCAUAAGCCUCCUUCUGCUCUGGGCUGGGCAAACCCAGGGACCUCAGCAGCUCUUCAUCCAUCUUGCCCUCUAGACCCUUUGCCGCCUUUGAAGCCCUCUUUUGGACACUCUCUAAUAGUUUUAUGUUCUUUCUGUAUUCUGGCACCCAAAACCCACACACAGUGCUUGAGACAAGGCUGCACCUGUUGGGAAAUCAGC
ensembl:lncRNA